rnacentral:lncRNA from 1 species
UAUAUCUCUUUCUAGAGACCAUUUACAUCAAUUCAGAUCUUGGUAUGUUUUAAGCAAAUAAUUUACUUUUCAUUUUGGGUUUUUGAUUUGUUGUUUUGUAUGCUUUAUGUAAAAACCCUUCAGCUAAGAUUGAUUUGCUUUGUCUGAUUUGGGUUUCUUUUUUCCACAAUUGGUUUCCGUUGUUUACAAUUCAUUCAUUCAUUAUUUGUUUCAUACUAGUGGAAUCAAUCGGGUUCUUAGGGUUUUCUUCUUGCGAUUUUCAGGUGUUUUAUUUGGCAGACAUUGAAUUAAUUUGUUAUUUUCUAGUUCAUGAAGUGCUACGUACUAAUAUUCACUUUCUUUUUCUAGUUAUUCAUGAAAUCCAAGUUCAUCUCACUUAGUUUAUCUUUAUGAGUGUUAAAUAGAUAAUUUAUUGGAAGAUGUUCAAUUGAAUUAUUGACCAUAAAUUUCAUAGCCAAUUGGCUGAUUACCUAAUUUAUCUGAAUAGUAGUAUAAGAAUUGAAUUGGCGAUAGUUUGUUUUUGAAAAUUUAGUAUUGCAAUAGGUUUUGACAAAUGAGUGCACUGAGAACUUCUCUUUAAAUUACACAGAAAUUUCAGACUGCUGUUUUGUUUUUCCAGAAAUGUGUUUGAAAUUAAAACUUGUUGGCAUUUACUGUAUGUUUGUUUUUAGUUAUUUGCUAUGUUUUUUUUGUUAUUUUUAUCAGCUUGAUGACAUGCUUUAUUUUUUCAGGGAAUACUUCCAAUUUCAGCAAAACACUGGAUAGCUUUGAUGCUUGAGUGGUCCCUCUUAAUAAGAAACUUGCAAUGUGAUGGCCAUUGGUAUGCAAACUUGUAACUGCUAAGAUCUUUUUGUGAAUUAAAAGUUGCUAUUGGCACUACUUUCAUUUUGUAGGUUGCUGAAGUGAACUUCCUUUUAAACGGAGGCAAAGGGUAUGGCAUCUCGUCUUAUGUUAGUUAUUAAUGAUGUUAUAUGUACUGUUACUGAGUAACUAUGGAUUUGUUGCUGCCAUUAUUACAUUUCUGAAGUAGAUAUCUAUUUACAAAGAACUUUAUCUAACAGUUAACCUGCUUAUUCUUAAAGCACUUGAAGUUCGAGCUGAUGUAUUCCUUUGAAACUUCCUUUUUCUUAUCAUUUUAUUGCUAUUUUGUACAUGCAUGUUGUCAUUUAUUAAUUCACUGCUACUUAUUCUGGAAUAGUUUUUGGGCUGUUAUUUUUUGUUGUUGUUGUUGUGAACUGCAUUUGGAGUAGUUCAAAUGAUAAAUUCUAAGUUCCAAUCUUGUUAAUUUGCUAACUUCACUGAAAAAUAAUUUAAAAGCUACCCUUUAAUUUUGUUAUACUCUUGAUGUUUCUAUUGUCUUUCGGUCCGUCUUCUUUUUAUUCAAAAGCAACUGUGACCAUAAAAUAUGCGUGAUUUGUGACCAUGAUCUGAUUGGUUAAAUUACUAGUCACGAACUUUUAUCGGGGAUCACAAAAUGUGACCAAACUUUUAUCAGGGGUCAUAAAAUGUGACACCUGAUUUUUGAAAAAAGUUCACAAGUCUGUAAAUUUUUGACAAAAGGCACAUUGAAACCUUUGUAGUUAUGUAAUUUUUACUUAAAAUAAAGAACAAAGAUUGUUUAUUUUUUUUCACUGUUUUUUUAUGCAUAUUUGAAUGAUUUCAAACCAUUUAAAUUGCUCGUAGAAAUAGUGAGUACAUUGUUUUUUUCUAUUUGUCGAAAUGGGUAAUUUUUGCUUCAAUAUUUAACAGUAGGGCAUCUUUUUUGUUGCUGUAUUGGACUAGGAGAAGAUGUGACGGGGAUUGAUUCCGUUGGUAAAAUGUGAUUAUGUUCGUCCUAUGAAUUUACGAUUGAUAAUGGAGCUCAAUUGGGGGUUUAAUUAUUAUCAAUUUUUGUAUAAUUGGUGCAAAAUAAUCCUGUCAUUUACAUGUUUUGUACGAAACAAUCUUAUCUUUUCAUUUUGGGGGUAAUACUCCCUCGUUGUAGUCAUAUCUUAACAUUCUUAUCCUCACUCUUUAAUUAAGCAAAAUAUUUCAUAUCAUUUUUUGUACAAAAGGUCCAUUGAGUGGGAAGGGGGAGGGGAAAUGAAACAACAUAUUUGCUCGUCGUACUUUAAAGUAUUUUUCUUUCAUUUCAAAGCUCUUAAAAUGGAAAAUCUUAAUGGAUUUAUCGUCAAAGAUGAGAUGUGUGAAUUACUGGAAGGUGAAGAUAAAAAUUCGGCAAAAAAGCUAGAGACAAAAGUGUUUACGGUAAAAAAAAAUAAAAAUAAAAAAUGUUGAAGACUUUAUGAACAGUCAUAUUAAAUUGUGGUUUAAAUAUAAUUUAAUAAUAUGAAUUGAGCAUAAGUUAAACAAUUAAUAAAUUUUAUUAAAAAUUAUUAUGCUAAUUAGUUCUUUUUUAAAUAAUAAAUAAAUAAUGUUUUAUAUUUUAUAAAUUAAUGUUACUAGAAUAUAAAUAUUAAUUGGAUAAAAAAUUAUUUACUUGAAUUUAACAUUUUUA